GAUGAAGAACGUAGCGAAAUGCGAUACGUAAUGUGAAUUGCAGAAUUCAGUGAAUCAUCGAGUCUUUGAACGCAUAUUGCGCCCCCUGGUAUUCCGGGGGGCAUGCCUGUCCGAGCGUCAUUGCUGCCCUCAAGCACGGCUUGUGUGUUGGGCCUCCGUCCUCCUCCCGGGGGACGGGCCCGAAAGGCAGCGGCGGCACCGCGUCCGGUCCUCGAGCGUAUGGGGCUUCGUCACCCGCUCUUGUAGGCCCGGCCGGCGCUUGCCGACACAUCAAUCUUUUUUCCAGGUUGACCUCGGAUCAGGUAGGGAUACCCGCUGAACUUAAGCAUAUCAAUAAGCGGAGGA
rnacentral:misc_RNA from 1 species